rnacentral:rRNA from 1 species
UGAUGCAGCCAUGCCGCGUGUAUGAAGAAGGCCUUCGGGUUGUAAAGUACUUUCAGCGAGGAGGAAGGCAUUAAGGUUAAUAACCUUAGUGAUUGACGUUACUCGCAGAAGAAGCACCGGCUAACUCCGUGCCAGCAGCCGCGGUAAUACGGAGGGUGCAAGCGUUAAUCGGAAUUACUGGGCGUAAAGCGCACGCAGGCGGUUUGUUAAGUCAGAUGUGAAAUCCCCGGGCUCAACCUGGGAACUGCAUUUGAAACUGGCAAGCUUGAGUCUUGUAGAGGGGGGUAGAAUUCCAGGUGUAGCGGUGAAAUGCGUAGAGAUCUGGAGGAAUACCGGUGGCGAAGGCGGCCCCCUGGACAAAGAC